rnacentral:lncRNA from 1 species
GGAGCAAACCCAGCUGAACCCCAUAGCCUUACCCAAAUGGCGGACAAACCACUGGGCCACUAUUGGUGGUUUCCCAAGUGCUUUUCUAUGACGCACUUUGAUUUCUUAUGAAAAUUUCAACAUCUUUAUAAUAAAAUGGCUUUUAUUAAAAGCGUUUAUAAGUAGAAGUGUUUCCUUAAAAAAGAAUCCUAAACGAGAUCGAAGUAUCAAAACCCUAAUUAAAGUGACAUUUUGUCCUUCACGAUUGAGCACAACCCAUUAUGUUGCGCAU